AUGGAAGAUGGCAAGGGUUCUCAGAAGGAGAGGGGGAAGGAAACAACGGAGGACUUGCUAGCUCGCCUUACCCUACAGGAGGAAGAAGAUGAUGAUUUUGUCUGGGAGGAGGAGCUCCCCGAUUUGAUGGAGGCGGCAAAGUGGCUGGCGAUCGCGAGGGUUCACACCCCCAAAACCUUCAGCCCUAAUGCACUAUACGGCGACAUGGCAGCGGCAUGAAACCCCGCGAAACUGGUGGUGUGGAGGAGGAUAAAGGAGAACCUGUUUACGGCACAAUUUGGAUGCCUCGCUGAUUGGAAG
rnacentral:rRNA from 1 species